UACGUAGGGUGCGAGCGUUGUCCGGAAUUACUGGGCGUAAAGAGCUCGUAGGUGGUUUGUCGCGUUGUCCGUGAAAACUCACAACUCAAUUGUGGGCGUGCGGGCGAUACGGGCAGACUGGAGUACUGCAGGGGAGACUGGAAUUCCUGGUGUAGCGGUGGAAUGCGCAGAUAUCAGGAGGAACACCGGUGGCGAAGGCGGGUCUCUGGGCAGUAACUGACGCUGAGGGGCGAAAGCGUGGGGAGCAAACAGG
rnacentral:rRNA from 1 species